AAUGCCGACGUUACCAAGAUGUGCCGACAGAUUUUGUUGGACCCUAGUCCAACACAGUUUCACGAAUAUUAUUUAGAAAAUUUUCGUGAAAUCCUAUUGAGGAUUAUGAGUGGUUUACGGUAACAUUUGGGGUUAAUUUAGCACGCUUCCUAGCAUUUAGAACUCUCAUUCAAUUUGCAGAAGAUACAAAAGACACAUCCACUAGCACCGAAAAUAAUUUUUAUGACAUUAUUUUCAAUCGAAGAUACCAUAAAGUCUCACAAGAAGUUAGUAGCCGCUAUGAAAAUUGCCAAAUUGUUGUAACUGCCAAACUAGUCAAGGCUUGAUAAGAUUAACUGUUUUUUUUGUUUGAAAAUAAUUUUUUUUUUAAUUUUUACACGGUUUUUGUAAUUGAGGCGCAAAGUAAUGAAUAAUACUGAAAAAAUCCGCCGGAGGAAAUUUAGAGAUGCUUUGGGCCCCUUGUGCUACCACAGUGCCGUGAGAAUAUUUUAAUAAUAAAUACCUGUGCUUACUCUUAAAUAAUAAAAACGUUAUAACAUUUCAAAAUAUUUACAUUUUUGCACAGAAUGUCUUUUUGAGUUUUUUUGUUUUAUUUUGUGCUUCAAUUUAUCAUUCGUAAUGCCAGAUUGUUUAGUUUUCAUUAUGAAUAACGUUUGUUGGAAGAAAAAACUGGGUUUCAAGAAAAAAAUGACGUGGCAAAACUUUGUUAACAAUUGGCAAUUGGGUUAAUUUUUUUAAUUAUAUAAAUAAAAAGAAAAAAAUGUAAAUUUAAAUGUGUAUUUAUUUACCUUGAAACUUUCAAAUACUUGAUAUCCGCGCUAUCAGCCAAAGUGAUUUUAAUUCGCACUUACAAAACAAAUACAAUUUCACUUGCAAAAUCCAAAGUGGUUUCAAACCAAAAAAAAUGCGAUUUUCGCUUUCUAAGUACGGAAUUAAAUUCACUUUGGGUGAUAGCGCGCAUAUUAUAUUACACUACAAACAAACAAUACAUAAUUGCGAAAUUUUUUCAUCCCGUUGCAACUAGUUAUUGAUGGUAAUUGUCAAUUUGUAAGCAUUUUCCCUCGCAGUACAUUUUUUAAACGACUCUACGUUUUGAACAAACAUAGUAUGUUUUAUAUGUCUCAAUGUUAGAAUUUAUUCAGUCCAUUGCAUUUAUAACAAAUGCCGAUAGAAAUAAACUGUUUAGCAUCACGUCUGGUAUAUUCAAAAAAUUUAAUAGCUUUUAGGUGAGUGUACAUAACUAGCUUGGCCUCAAAGGAGAGUGUCACAGUUCGCCAGAUUUAGACAUUGGGUCAUCCGGUCUGAUAAAUGACUUGACUUAGCAACCCGGCAUUUCUCCUAGCUCAGACUAUCUCCCGAUAAUCGUCUCCAUCAGUAGAUCGCCCGAUUUCAUAACCUCUGAACGCCGCACUUUCCUUAACCAUUGGAAAGCCCAUGACUCAAUAAGAAAGAUUGCUCAACUUCAAAAAAGAAUACCCAUCUGUAAUUAUUUGUCACAUUUUCUGUAAUUUUCCUUGUCACAUUUCUCUACAUAAAAACAGGUUCCCAUCUCUGAUUUGUGUAUGUACAAUGGAUUUAUAAAUACAAAUUUUGACAUUGAGAUGUUGUCAAAUGAAUAAUUUUUGAAAAAAUUGUAAACAUAUGCUUGCAUGACUUUACCUCCUUGUUUCUACGAUGCUCAACUUCAAAGAAACUAAAAAAAUGAACUUUGUGCUGGAGCCUUAUAGUGUCAAAAUGACUUUUAAAUAUGCAAUAGAUGGUUUGGUUUAUUUUCCAUUUUUCACAAAAUUCUUAUAUUGGGAAACCCGUGAAACAAAAAUGGAAUUUUGGGGUUAUUCCACAAGAUUGGAUCUAAAUAGUAGGACAAUAUUGCUUUAUCCCAAUAUUGUACAAUGUCCUGCCCAAUUACAUCGAAAUUAUGCAUUUAUUUUGCAACCGAAUUUGAAAUAAUUUCAAAUUAACGGAAAUGAUAUUUAGGGACAUCGCCGCUCGCUAUAUACCUGCUGGUCGAAUGCCCGAAGUAAGACCAAAUUUCUUGAGCUCCGGCGUACUAACCCUACUGAUCCCAGACAGUGGAAGUCCGCAGAUUGAUACAGGAACAUGAUAGGACAGCAGUCGCAUUUAACGACGUAACGGUGACUGAUCCGAAGAGGUUCGCUGGCCAUUUUAAACGCCAAUUUGUCGAGCAGCCCGAGAGUGAUAGAGCGAGGCUAGGAGUACUGCAGCGUAUAAGAGCUCUUUCCGCCGAGGAUAUACCUGAAUAGUUUACGAUGGGUGAUGUUGCGAAUGUCUUCCGAAACGCUAAGUCAUCUAAAGUCAUGUUGAAGCAACUGGAUACACCGGGAGUUGAGUAUAUUGAGUGAUAAAUUGAAAAGUAGGAACAAGGUCCUUAAGACGCUAGCCGGCAAGGUCCUCCGGGGUUCGGAUAAGGAAACCUUGUUGACCUUUUAUAAAGCGAUAUGUCGUUCUGUUGUUAGCUAUGCUGCUGCAGUGUGGUCCGAGUGCAAUGCAGCGGUAAAGUAUUCAGACCUGCCAGAAUGCCGCCCUGAGAACUGCAACAGGGUUCCUCCUCAUGACUCCUGUGGACCAUUUACAUGAGGAGACGAAGUGUUUUCGUUGCAGUACCUGCUUGGGUGUUAUCGUGGGUCAUACUAACCAACAUAUAUGGGGCAGAACUCCCCAACCAGGCGUGUCAGCAAGGACCAGCAUGAGUCUUUCCCUAUUGGAUCUGAUAUUUGCAAAUGCUAGACAUUGUUUUCAUCAUCUUCCCCGUAUGCCCUGUAUAUGCUGUUAUCUGUACAGAUAAGCUUGUAGGCCCAGGUGACCCGUUACAUCCCAGUUACCCCACUAAUCUACUACUGAUGCGUAUGUUAGAACAAGUCUAACUACGCUUUUGAAUAUCCAGUGCGUCAUCCUUGAAUUAAAACUCGUCUGCAUAACAGACUGGUUCAAAUCCUUUGUUGGUUAAAUUCCGUAAAGACUGUUUAUGGAAGUGUAACAUAAGGUGUGUCUGCUUACUUUUCCUGCAGGAAUUGUCCAGCAACAUCUUUCUGAGAGAGUAAGGUAGUUUUAUUAUCUUUUGCAAGGAAAUUGCGAAAAGUAAACAGACAAGCUUCCUGCAGAAGCUUGCAACUAAUCAGCUGAUUUGUCAAAACAAACCAAUUUGUCCCCCAUUAAAAGAAUUAAACGAAAGGAACCACCACCAAUUUCACAAGUUUUAUAAAUAACAAGUAAGCUAAGGAUAUAGUCGUGCGCGGCCGACUAUGUGAUACCCUACAACACUACAAUAUGUUAGAAGCCCCCUCAUAUCCAAAUCCAUUUUGGAAGAUUUUUUCAAUAUUUACGCACUCCGUCGUGCUGUUAGUUUUUGUGGUCCAUUUUACGGCUAAAUAUAAUCCAAUGGUCAUCCAAAAUGCUAGAAUUCUUCACUGUGCUUAACUAUCUUCUCAGGCGUGCCGAUUGGCUUCAAUUGUGUUAUCAUGAUUUUUUUCUGUUUUUGUUUCAUUUGAACCCAUAUAUAUUUUGCGAUCAUCUCCAAAAGCAAUUUGGCUAUAGUCGUCGACGAAAUCAGCAUAAAAAGCCAGAAGUUCGCCUUUUGGGUAUUUCGGAUAUCGCCUGUAAGUAAUGUUAGUAUUUUUGCACACAAAAGUAGUGGUCCAUUAUAACUGCUGUCUUAAAUUCUAACUUCAUGCAAGAUUUCGUGUCCUUUGGUUUCUAUGUGUGACCUUUAUAACAUUUGCAAAAUCAGGAACAUUUUGAGUUGCUGGCCCAUUUCAACCCCUAAAUAUAUUGCGGACAUAUUUGAAAACAAUAGGCUUAGCCCUUCUGAGCCUAACCCUACCUUUGUCAAAAAUUUCGUGAGGAUCGAAUGAUAAUUGCAAUCUGUGUAUACAUAAUAACCCGAUGACCAUCAAAAUUGGAAGGCAUCUGCCCAGCCCAAAGCUCUAGCCCCAUGCUAACUUUUGCUUCGAUUGGUCUAUAAUUGUGACCUGUAGAGCAACUGCAAAAUUUUUGCAUCAUUUUUCAGUUUUUGGUCCAUUUCAACCCCUUAAUAUUGUGCGAUCAUCUCCAAAAGAAAUAGGGUUCUAUUCUGAUUAACCCCACCUACAUUUUAAAUUUCGUGAAGAUCGGGCUAUAAUUGCGACCUGUAGAGUGAUUACCAAUUAACAUGGACAGACGGACGGACGGACAUACAUAGCUAGAUCGACUCAGCUCGGCGAGAUAGGAAGAUCCAUAUAUACUUUCCUAUGUGGGAAAUCAAUAUUUCGUGGUGUUACAUAAUUUUUGGCCCAAUCAAACUUAUAAUACCCCCAACACAAAGUGUUGUAGGGUAUAAAAAGGAAAUUGACAAUAAAAUAAAAAUAUGAGCAAUAAAAGGAAGAUAGAUAUGAUGUGUUCCGCGGAAUCUUUUAAACCUGUUGCUAAUGGCAUUUGUCUAAAAAUGCUGGAAAAAGUCUUUUACUUUCUUAUUACAUAUUAAUAUUUACUUUUUUCAUAUUUUGUAAAGUUGUUCUCCAAAAACAAUUAGUCUUGCUAAUUCCAAAACAAUAUUUUCAAAUUAAAAUCACAAAAAGAAAUUAAUAAACAAUAGAAAACAUCUGAUUGAAUGACGAUGAAUGAGAAGAAGAAGAGUUGCAAGAGAUUGCAAGAAGAAAUUUGUCCAGCAAGAAUUUGCAAACUCUCACUGAAAGAACUGUCAAAAUUUCUCUCUCCAACCGCUCUCUUUUGCAGAACUUUCGGGUUAACAGACGACUUCCAGUAACAAUUUGUAACAAUUGUUACAAAUUUUAGGGUAACCAUACACACCUAUAGUGAAUGAUGGCAACCCCAAAAAAAAAUGUCAAUUGACGUUUGCUGACAUUUCAUAAUCCUCGAUCUCUUCCUUUUGUGACUAGCUUUGAGUAAACAAGUAUUCUUUAACAUUAAAAUUGUAAUUUUUUAUUUUUAAGACAUAAAUAUUAUUCAAUAAAUGAAUUCCAAAUAAUAAAAGUUAUGUUAAUUGGCGACGAGGAUGAAACAUCGACUGGAGUACAAAGUGAAACAGAGGAAAGUAAGAUGGCUUCAAAAUACGGCGAUUUGACAACAGUUUAAUGUGGCUGCGGGAAAUUGGCAGAUUUAUCUAAAACAGAUGAUUUUUUUUUCAUGGCAAAUGGUAUAGCGGACGAGGAUGCAAAAAAGGCGAUAUUUUUAUCUUCUUGUGGGCCAGAUACCUACGUACUGUUGAAAUCCAUAGCCACUCCAGAUAACGUUAUGGACAAAACAUUCUCGUUUAAAAGAGCCGUGGAAUUGUUAUCCAAACAUUUUUGCCCGCCACCAAACCAGAUUAUACAGCAUUUCCAGUUUUACCGCAGAGACCAGAAAGAGGGAGAGACGGUUCCCGAAUUUUUGACCGCUUUAAGAAAUUUGGGCCAAUAUUGUGAAUUCACAGAUUUGGGUGUAAUGCUGCGUGACGGAUUGGUGUGUGGAUUAAGAGAUAGAUGAGAGUCUACAGAAAUGAUUGUUGUCAAAUGAUAAACUAACACUCAAAAUUGCACAGGAAGAAGCCAUUGCCAGUGAAGAGGCCCAGACGAAUUUAGCCGCAUUGAAAACACCAGUUAACCAGCAAAAGAUAAACAGAAUUGGUAACGGCAGAGAAAAAAAGAGUAAAGCAAAAAAUCAAUCCAGAGAUUGUUUUAGAUAUGGGGGUACACAUUCGCCAGACCAGUGCCGGUUUAAAGAAGAUUACCACUUCUGCAAAGAACGUGGAGAUAUUGAAAAGGCGUGUAUCACCAAAGCCAGGUCGUCCAGGAAAAAACUCUGGAGGAGCAAUGGGUAAGAAUAAUGUUAACCAGAUCAAAAUACCCCCGAAUGACGGAAACCAGGACUACAUUUUGUCAAUGAGUGGAGUAAAUGGCAUAUCGAUCCGCAGAGAAGUGAAAAUUUGUGAAAAAUCUAUUGAGGUGGAUAUUGACUCUGGUGCCAGUCACUCAAUUAUGAGUGAAGAUAAAUUUUAUAAGAAGUUCCGUAACCUAAAGUUACAUCCCAGUAAAACACAUCUAAAAGCAUGGGGCACAGAAAAUAAUUGCCAAAUUUGUGGCGAAGAACGUGUUCCAGUUUCUUUGGGUGCUAUUAACUGGAAGCUGAUACUGGUACGUGGAAGAGGUCCAUCCUUAAUUGAAAGAAAUUGGUUUGAGUAAUUGGGAAUUUCCAUAAUUAGUCCAGUGCACAGCAUCGAAGGUGGGUUACCAGAAGAGGUAACUGAAUUCAACACAAUAUUCGAUUCAAUGGAGGAGGAUGGUGUGCUACGUUCAUUGACGAAUAGCGUAUGGGCUACUCCAAUAGUUCCAGUUUUAAAACCAGAUAAUACCAUACGCAUUUUUGGUGAUUAUUAAUGUACGGUAAACCAGAUGAUUUGUAAAGAAACAUCCCCUGCCAACCAACAUGGAAGUGCUAACAACUUUAGCGAAUUGUAAAUGGUUUUUCAGAUUGGGUUUAGAUAGAGCGUACACUCAGGUGAAAGUAGGCGAUGAAUCAGCAAAAAUUUUAACCAUUAACACACAUCGUGGAUUGUUUGAGGUUACCAGAUUACCGUUCGGUAUAUCCACAGCACCAAGUAUUUUUCAACGUAUGAUGGAAGGCCUGUUAAGUGGCAUAGAUGGCGUUGUGGUAUAUCUUGAUGAUAUUUUGAUUGGUGGUAAGACGGUUCAGGAGAUGUGGGACCGAACAAAAGUUGUUCUUCGACGCAUACAAGAUACCGGUUUAAAAUUAAAAAGAAGUAAAUGUGUUUUUUCUGUUCAAGAGCUAUGCCUUUUGGAGUUCAAGGUAAAUCGAGAUGGUGUGAAACCAACAGAUGAAAAGAUCAGGGCAAUUUAUCAAGCACCUGAACCAACCGACAAACAACAACUGCAAUCAUUCCUGGGAUUAGUAACAUUUUACGAACGAUUUUUCCGCAACAAGUUAAAUGUGUUGGAGCCGCAUUAUCGUCUUUUGCAAAAGGAUGCCAGCAAGUUUUGAUCAGGUAAAGAAAAAUCUUCAAUCUGAAAAUCUUUUGGUUCGUUAUUCCGCAGAAUUGCCAUUGAUUUUGAGUGGUGAUGCUUCACCAUACGGAGUGGGGCAGUCUUAGCUCACGUCAUACCAGUCUUAGCUCACGUCAUGCCAAUUGCUUUUGGGUGCCGGACUCUCCAAUCAGCUGAAAAGAACUCUACCCAGUUAGACAAGAAGGCACUUGCGAUUAUUUUUGGCUAGAAGAAGUUUAACCAGUUUUUGAGUUGAAGAGAAUUUACGAUCUUAACUGAUCACAAACCGUUGUUGGGACUGUUUAAUCCAGUGAAACCCAUAUCUGAGCAUAUGUCACCUAGGAUGUUGAGAUGGUGGUUGAUGCUAGGGGCAUACCAAUACAACAUAAAAUAUAGAGAAGGGAAGAAAAACAAAAAUGCAGAUGCAUUAAGCAGGCUACCAUUUAAAGAAGUAGGUGGAACAAUUCCGAAUAUUCCUGAAAUUUUAUAUUGUACAGAAGGCAAAGACCAGUUCUUAAUAAUGUUUGCCAUUGUUUGCUUUUGGGUACAAGAGUAAUAAUACCCACAAUUUUCGUUCCCGUAUUUUGAAUAUGUUGCAUGAAGUACACCAAGGUAUGUCAGCCAUGAAAGCUACCGCCAGAAGUUAUUUUUGGUGGCCAGGUCUCAAUAAGGACAUCGGGAUGACGGCGAAAAAAUGUGAGAAAUGUUCCCAACAAAAUAAACACCCUCCAGCGGCAGAAUCAAAACCAUUUAGACCGUGGUCGAGAGGCAUGCGGCGAAUUGCUUCGCUCCUCUUUUCAGCCUAACCUAACCUACAUGCAGGUCCAGUUUUACAAUAAGAUAUUACACAUUUAUAAUGCCGACGUUACCAAGAUGUGCCGACAGAUUUUGUUGGACCCUAGUCCAACACAGUUUCACGAAUAUUAUUUAGAAAAUUUUCGUGAAAUCCUAUUGAGGAUUAUGAGUGGUUUACGGUAACAUUUGGGGUUAAUUUAGCACGCUUCCUAGCAUUUAGAACUCUCAUUCAAUUUGCAGAAGAUACAAAAGACACAUCCACUAGCACCGAAAAUAAUUUUUAUGACAUUAUUUUCAAUCGAAGAUACCAUAAAGUCUCACAAGAAGUUAGUAGCCGCUAUGAAAAUUGCCAAAUUGUUGUAACUGCCAAACUAGUCAAGGCUUGAUAAGAUUAACUGUUUUUUUUGUUUGAAAAUAAUUUUUUUUUUAAUUUUUACACGGUUUUUGUAAUUGAGGCGCAAAGUAAUGAAUAAUACUGAAAAAAUCCGCCGGAGGAAAUUUAGAGAUGCUUUGGGCCCCUUGUGCUACCACAGUGCCGUGAGAAUAUUUUAAUAAUAAAUACCUGUGCUUACUCUUAAAUAAUAAAAACGUUAUAACAUUUCAAAAUAUUUACAUUUUUGCACAGAAUGUCUUUUUGAGUUUUUUUGUUUUAUUUUGUGCUUCAAUUUAUCAUUCGUAAUGCCAGAUUGUUUAGUUUUCAUUAUGAAUAACGUUUGUUGGAAGAAAAAACUGGGUUUCAAGAAAAAAAUGACGUGGCAAAACUUUGUUAACAAUUGGCAAUUGGGUUAAUUUUUUUAAUUAUAUAAAUAAAAAGAAAAAAAUGUAAAUUUAAAUGUGUAUUUAUUUACCUUGAAACUUUCAAAUACUUGAUAUCCGCGCUAUCAGCCAAAGUGAUUUUAAUUCGCACUUACAAAACAAAUACAAUUUCACUUGCAAAAUCCAAAGUGGUUUCAAACCAAAAAAAAUGCGAUUUUCGCUUUCUAAGUACGGAAUUAAAUUCACUUUGGGUGAUAGCGCGCAUAUUAUAUUACACUACAAACAAACAAUACAUAAUUGCGAAAUUUUUUCAUCCCGUUGCAACUAGUUAUUGAUGGUAAUUGUCAAUUUGUAAGCAUUUUCCCUCGCAGUACAUUUUUUAAACGACUCUACGUUUUGAACAAACAUAGUAUGUUUUAUAUGUCUCAAUGUUAGAAUUUAUUCAGUCCAUUGCAUUUAUAACAAAUGCCGAUAGAAAUAAACUGUUUAGCAUCACGUCUGGUAUAUUCAAAAAAUUUAAUAGCUUUUAGGUGAGUGUACAUAACUAGCUUGGCCUCAAAGGAGAGUGUCACAGUUCGCCAGAUUUAGACAUUGGGUCAUCCGGUCUGAUAAAUGACUUGACUUAGCAACCCGGCAUUUCUCCUAGCUCAGACUAUCUCCCGAUAAUCGUCUCCAUCAGUAGAUCGCCCGAUUUCAUAACCUCUGAACGCCGCACUUUCCUUAACCAUUGGAAAGCCCAUGACUCAAUAAGAAAGAUUGCUCAACUUCAAAAAAGAAUACCCAUCUGUAAUUAUUUGUCACAUUUUCUGUAAUUUUCCUUGUCACAUUUCUCUACAUAAAAACAGGUUCCCAUCUCUGAUUUGUGUAUGUACAAUGGAUUUAUAAAUACAAAUUUUGACAUUGAGAUGUUGUCAAAUGAAUAAUUUUUGAAAAAAUUGUAAACAUAUGCUUGCAUGACUUUACCUCCUUGUUUCUACGAUGCUCAACUUCAAAGAAACUAAAAAAAUGAACUUUGUGCUGGAGCCUUAUAGUGUCAAAAUGACUUUUAAAUAUGCAAUAGAUGGUUUGGUUUAUUUUCCAUUUUUCACAAAAUUCUUAUAUUGGGAAACCCGUGAAACAAAAAUGGAAUUUUGGGGUUAUUCCACAAGAUUGGAUCUAAAUAGUAGGACAAUAUUGCUUUAUCCCAAUAUUGUACAAUGUCCUGCCCAAUUACAUCGAAAUUAUGCAUUUAUUUUGCAACCGAAUUUGAAAUAAUUUCAAAUUAACGGAAAUGAUAUUUAGGGACAUCGCCGCUCGCUAUAUACCUGCUGGUCGAAUGCCCGAAGUAAGACCAAAUUUCUUGAGCUCCGGCGUACUAACCCUACUGAUCCCAGACAGUGGAAGUCCGCAGAUUGAUACAGGAACAUGAUAGGACAGCAGUCGCAUUUAACGACGUAACGGUGACUGAUCCGAAGAGGUUCGCUGGCCAUUUUAAACGCCAAUUUGUCGAGCAGCCCGAGAGUGAUAGAGCGAGGCUAGGAGUACUGCAGCGUAUAAGAGCUCUUUCCGCCGAGGAUAUACCUGAAUAGUUUACGAUGGGUGAUGUUGCGAAUGUCUUCCGAAACGCUAAGUCAUCUAAAGUCAUGUUGAAGCAACUGGAUACACCGGGAGUUGAGUAUAUUGAGUGAUAAAUUGAAAAGUAGGAACAAGGUCCUUAAGACGCUAGCCGGCAAGGUCCUCCGGGGUUCGGAUAAGGAAACCUUGUUGACCUUUUAUAAAGCGAUAUGUCGUUCUGUUGUUAGCUAUGCUGCUGCAGUGUGGUCCGAGUGCAAUGCAGCGGUAAAGUAUUCAGACCUGCCAGAAUGCCGCCCUGAGAACUGCAACAGGGUUCCUCCUCAUGACUCCUGUGGACCAUUUACAUGAGGAGACGAAGUGUUUUCGUUGCAGUACCUGCUUGGGUGUUAUCGUGGGUCAUACUAACCAACAUAUAUGGGGCAGAACUCCCCAACCAGGCGUGUCAGCAAGGACCAGCAUGAGUCUUUCCCUAUUGGAUCUGAUAUUUGCAAAUGCUAGACAUUGUUUUCAUCAUCUUCCCCGUAUGCCCUGUAUAUGCUGUUAUCUGUACAGAUAAGCUUGUAGGCCCAGGUGACCCGUUACAUCCCAGUUACCCCACUAAUCUACUACUGAUGCGUAUGUUAGAACAAGUCUAACUACGCUUUUGAAUAUCCAGUGCGUCAUCCUUGAAUUAAAACUCGUCUGCAUAACAGACUGGUUCAAAUCCUUUGUUGGUUAAAUUCCGUAAAGACUGUUUAUGGAAGUGUAACAUAAGGUGUGUCUGCUUACUUUUCCUGCAGGAAUUGUCCAGCAACAUCUUUCUGAGAGAGUAAGGUAGUUUUAUUAUCUUUUGCAAGGAAAUUGCGAAAAGUAAACAGACAAGCUUCCUGCAGAAGCUUGCAACUAAUCAGCUGAUUUGUCAAAACAAACCAAUUUGUCCCCCAUUAAAAGAAUUAAACGAAAGGAACCACCACCAAUUUCACAAGUUUUAUAAAUAACAAGUAAGCUAAGGAUAUAGUCGUGCGCGGCCGACUAUGUGAUACCCUACAACACUACAAUAUGUUAGAAGCCCCCUCAUAUCCAAAUCCAUUUUGGAAGAUUUUUUCAAUAUUUACGCACUCCGUCGUGCUGUUAGUUUUUGUGGUCCAUUUUACGGCUAAAUAUAAUCCAAUGGUCAUCCAAAAUGCUAGAAUUCUUCACUGUGCUUAACUAUCUUCUCAGGCGUGCCGAUUGGCUUCAAUUGUGUUAUCAUGAUUUUUUUCUGUUUUUGUUUCAUUUGAACCCAUAUAUAUUUUGCGAUCAUCUCCAAAAGCAAUUUGGCUAUAGUCGUCGACGAAAUCAGCAUAAAAAGCCAGAAGUUCGCCUUUUGGGUAUUUCGGAUAUCGCCUGUAAGUAAUGUUAGUAUUUUUGCACACAAAAGUAGUGGUCCAUUAUAACUGCUGUCUUAAAUUCUAACUUCAUGCAAGAUUUCGUGUCCUUUGGUUUCUAUGUGUGACCUUUAUAACAUUUGCAAAAUCAGGAACAUUUUGAGUUGCUGGCCCAUUUCAACCCCUAAAUAUAUUGCGGACAUAUUUGAAAACAAUAGGCUUAGCCCUUCUGAGCCUAACCCUACCUUUGUCAAAAAUUUCGUGAGGAUCGAAUGAUAAUUGCAAUCUGUGUAUACAUAAUAACCCGAUGACCAUCAAAAUUGGAAGGCAUCUGCCCAGCCCAAAGCUCUAGCCCCAUGCUAACUUUUGCUUCGAUUGGUCUAUAAUUGUGACCUGUAGAGCAACUGCAAAAUUUUUGCAUCAUUUUUCAGUUUUUGGUCCAUUUCAACCCCUUAAUAUUGUGCGAUCAUCUCCAAAAGAAAUAGGGUUCUAUUCUGAUUAACCCCACCUACAUUUUAAAUUUCGUGAAGAUCGGGCUAUAAUUGCGACCUGUAGAGUGAUUACCAAUUAACAUGGACAGACGGACGGACGGACAUACAUAGCUAGAUCGACUCAGCUCGGCGAGAUAGGAAGAUCCAUAUAUACUUUCCUAUGUGGGAAAUCAAUAUUUCGUGGUGUUACAUAAUUUUUGGCCCAAUCAAACUUAUAAUACCCCCAACACAAAGUGUUGUAGGGUAUAAAAAGGAAAUUGACAAUAAAAUAAAAAUAUGAGCAAUAAAAGGAAGAUAGAUAUGAUGUGUUCCGCGGAAUCUUUUAAACCUGUUGCUAAUGGCAUUUGUCUAAAAAUGCUGGAAAAAGUCUUUUACUUUCUUAUUACAUAUUAAUAUUUACUUUUUUCAUAUUUUGUAAAGUUGUUCUCCAAAAACAAUUAGUCUUGCUAAUUCCAAAACAAUAUUUUCAAAUUAAAAUCACAAAAAGAAAUUAAUAAACAAUAGAAAACAUCUGAUUGAAUGACGAUGAAUGAGAAGAAGAAGAGUUGCAAGAGAUUGCAAGAAGAAAUUUGUCCAGCAAGAAUUUGCAAACUCUCACUGAAAGAACUGUCAAAAUUUCUCUCUCCAACCGCUCUCUUUUGCAGAACUUUCGGGUUAACAGACGACUUCCAGUAACAAUUUGUAACAAUUGUUACAAAUUUUAGGGUAACCAUACACACCUAUAGUGAAUGAUGGCAACCCCAAAAAAAAAUGUCAAUUGACGUUUGCUGACAUUUCAUAAUCCUCGAUCUCUUCCUUUUGUGACUAGCUUUGAGUAAACAAGUAUUCUUUAACAUUAAAAUUGUAAUUUUUUAUUUUUAAGACAUAAAUAUUAUUCAAUAAAUGAAUUCCAAAUAAUAAAAGUUAUGUUAAUUGGCGACGAGGAUGAAACAUCGACUGGAGUACAAAGUGAAACAGAGGAAAGUAAGAUGGCUUCAAAAUACGGCGAUUUGACAACAGUUUAAUGUGGCUGCGGGAAAUUGGCAGAUUUAUCUAAAACAGAUGAUUUUUUUUUCAUGGCAAAUGGUAUAGCGGACGAGGAUGCAAAAAAGGCGAUAUUUUUAUCUUCUUGUGGGCCAGAUACCUACGUACUGUUGAAAUCCAUAGCCACUCCAGAUAACGUUAUGGACAAAACAUUCUCGUUUAAAAGAGCCGUGGAAUUGUUAUCCAAACAUUUUUGCCCGCCACCAAACCAGAUUAUACAGCAUUUCCAGUUUUACCGCAGAGACCAGAAAGAGGGAGAGACGGUUCCCGAAUUUUUGACCGCUUUAAGAAAUUUGGGCCAAUAUUGUGAAUUCACAGAUUUGGGUGUAAUGCUGCGUGACGGAUUGGUGUGUGGAUUAAGAGAUAGAUGAGAGUCUACAGAAAUGAUUGUUGUCAAAUGAUAAACUAACACUCAAAAUUGCACAGGAAGAAGCCAUUGCCAGUGAAGAGGCCCAGACGAAUUUAGCCGCAUUGAAAACACCAGUUAACCAGCAAAAGAUAAACAGAAUUGGUAACGGCAGAGAAAAAAAGAGUAAAGCAAAAAAUCAAUCCAGAGAUUGUUUUAGAUAUGGGGGUACACAUUCGCCAGACCAGUGCCGGUUUAAAGAAGAUUACCACUUCUGCAAAGAACGUGGAGAUAUUGAAAAGGCGUGUAUCACCAAAGCCAGGUCGUCCAGGAAAAAACUCUGGAGGAGCAAUGGGUAAGAAUAAUGUUAACCAGAUCAAAAUACCCCCGAAUGACGGAAACCAGGACUACAUUUUGUCAAUGAGUGGAGUAAAUGGCAUAUCGAUCCGCAGAGAAGUGAAAAUUUGUGAAAAAUCUAUUGAGGUGGAUAUUGACUCUGGUGCCAGUCACUCAAUUAUGAGUGAAGAUAAAUUUUAUAAGAAGUUCCGUAACCUAAAGUUACAUCCCAGUAAAACACAUCUAAAAGCAUGGGGCACAGAAAAUAAUUGCCAAAUUUGUGGCGAAGAACGUGUUCCAGUUUCUUUGGGUGCUAUUAACUGGAAGCUGAUACUGGUACGUGGAAGAGGUCCAUCCUUAAUUGAAAGAAAUUGGUUUGAGUAAUUGGGAAUUUCCAUAAUUAGUCCAGUGCACAGCAUCGAAGGUGGGUUACCAGAAGAGGUAACUGAAUUCAACACAAUAUUCGAUUCAAUGGAGGAGGAUGGUGUGCUACGUUCAUUGACGAAUAGCGUAUGGGCUACUCCAAUAGUUCCAGUUUUAAAACCAGAUAAUACCAUACGCAUUUUUGGUGAUUAUUAAUGUACGGUAAACCAGAUGAUUUGUAAAGAAACAUCCCCUGCCAACCAACAUGGAAGUGCUAACAACUUUAGCGAAUUGUAAAUGGUUUUUCAGAUUGGGUUUAGAUAGAGCGUACACUCAGGUGAAAGUAGGCGAUGAAUCAGCAAAAAUUUUAACCAUUAACACACAUCGUGGAUUGUUUGAGGUUACCAGAUUACCGUUCGGUAUAUCCACAGCACCAAGUAUUUUUCAACGUAUGAUGGAAGGCCUGUUAAGUGGCAUAGAUGGCGUUGUGGUAUAUCUUGAUGAUAUUUUGAUUGGUGGUAAGACGGUUCAGGAGAUGUGGGACCGAACAAAAGUUGUUCUUCGACGCAUACAAGAUACCGGUUUAAAAUUAAAAAGAAGUAAAUGUGUUUUUUCUGUUCAAGAGCUAUGCCUUUUGGAGUUCAAGGUAAAUCGAGAUGGUGUGAAACCAACAGAUGAAAAGAUCAGGGCAAUUUAUCAAGCACCUGAACCAACCGACAAACAACAACUGCAAUCAUUCCUGGGAUUAGUAACAUUUUACGAACGAUUUUUCCGCAACAAGUUAAAUGUGUUGGAGCCGCAUUAUCGUCUUUUGCAAAAGGAUGCCAGCAAGUUUUGAUCAGGUAAAGAAAAAUCUUCAAUCUGAAAAUCUUUUGGUUCGUUAUUCCGCAGAAUUGCCAUUGAUUUUGAGUGGUGAUGCUUCACCAUACGGAGUGGGGCAGUCUUAGCUCACGUCAUACCAGUCUUAGCUCACGUCAUGCCAAUUGCUUUUGGGUGCCGGACUCUCCAAUCAGCUGAAAAGAACUCUACCCAGUUAGACAAGAAGGCACUUGCGAUUAUUUUUGGCUAGAAGAAGUUUAACCAGUUUUUGAGUUGAAGAGAAUUUACGAUCUUAACUGAUCACAAACCGUUGUUGGGACUGUUUAAUCCAGUGAAACCCAUAUCUGAGCAUAUGUCACCUAGGAUGUUGAGAUGGUGGUUGAUGCUAGGGGCAUACCAAUACAACAUAAAAUAUAGAGAAGGGAAGAAAAACAAAAAUGCAGAUGCAUUAAGCAGGCUACCAUUUAAAGAAGUAGGUGGAACAAUUCCGAAUAUUCCUGAAAUUUUAUAUUGUACAGAAGGCAAAGACCAGUUCUUAAUAAUGUUUGCCAUUGUUUGCUUUUGGGUACAAGAGUAAUAAUACCCACAAUUUUCGUUCCCGUAUUUUGAAUAUGUUGCAUGAAGUACACCAAGGUAUGUCAGCCAUGAAAGCUACCGCCAGAAGUUAUUUUUGGUGGCCAGGUCUCAAUAAGGACAUCGGGAUGACGGCGAAAAAAUGUGAGAAAUGUUCCCAACAAAAUAAACACCCUCCAGCGGCAGAAUCAAAACCAUUUAGACCGUGGUCGAGAGGCAUGCGGCGAAUUGCUUCGCUCCUCUUUUCAGCCUAACCUAACCUACAUGCAGGUCCAGUUUUACAAUAAGAUAUUACACAUUUAUAAUGCCGACGUUACCAAGAUGUGCCGACAGAUUUUGUUGGACCCUAGUCCAACACAGUUUCACGAAUAUUAUUUAGAAAAUUUUCGUGAAAUCCUAUUGAGGAUUAUGAGUGGUUUACGGUAACAUUUGGGGUUAAUUUAGCACGCUUCCUAGCAUUUAGAACUCUCAUUCAAUUUGCAGAAGAUACAAAAGACACAUCCACUAGCACCGAAAAUAAUUUUUAUGACAUUAUUUUCAAUCGAAGAUACCAUAAAGUCUCACAAGAAGUUAGUAGCCGCUAUGAAAAUUGCCAAAUUGUUGUAACUGCCAAACUAGUCAAGGCUUGAUAAGAUUAACUGUUUUUUUUGUUUGAAAAUAAUUUUUUUUUUAAUUUUUACACGGUUUUUGUAAUUGAGGCGCAAAGUAAUGAAUAAUACUGAAAAAAUCCGCCGGAGGAAAUUUAGAGAUGCUUUGGGCCCCUUGUGCUACCACAGUGCCGUGAGAAUAUUUUAAUAAUAAAUACCUGUGCUUACUCUUAAAUAAUAAAAACGUUAUAACAUUUCAAAAUAUUUACAUUUUUGCACAGAAUGUCUUUUUGAGUUUUUUUGUUUUAUUUUGUGCUUCAAUUUAUCAUUCGUAAUGCCAGAUUGUUUAGUUUUCAUUAUGAAUAACGUUUGUUGGAAGAAAAAACUGGGUUUCAAGAAAAAAAUGACGUGGCAAAACUUUGUUAACAAUUGGCAAUUGGGUUAAUUUUUUUAAUUAUAUAAAUAAAAAGAAAAAAAUGUAAAUUUAAAUGUGUAUUUAUUUACCUUGAAACUUUCAAAUACUUGAUAUCCGCGCUAUCAGCCAAAGUGAUUUUAAUUCGCACUUACAAAACAAAUACAAUUUCACUUGCAAAAUCCAAAGUGGUUUCAAACCAAAAAAAAUGCGAUUUUCGCUUUCUAAGUACGGAAUUAAAUUCACUUUGGGUGAUAGCGCGCAUAUUAUAUUACACUACAAACAAACAAUACAUAAUUGCGAAAUUUUUUCAUCCCGUUGCAACUAGUUAUUGAUGGUAAUUGUCAAUUUGUAAGCAUUUUCCCUCGCAGUACAUUUUUUAAACGACUCUACGUUUUGAACAAACAUAGUAUGUUUUAUAUGUCUCAAUGUUAGAAUUUAUUCAGUCCAUUGCAUUUAUAACAAAUGCCGAUAGAAAUAAACUGUUUAGCAUCACGUCUGGUAUAUUCAAAAAAUUUAAUAGCUUUUAGGUGAGUGUACAUAACUAGCUUGGCCUCAAAGGAGAGUGUCACAGUUCGCCAGAUUUAGACAUUGGGUCAUCCGGUCUGAUAAAUGACUUGACUUAGCAACCCGGCAUUUCUCCUAGCUCAGACUAUCUCCCGAUAAUCGUCUCCAUCAGUAGAUCGCCCGAUUUCAUAACCUCUGAACGCCGCACUUUCCUUAACCAUUGGAAAGCCCAUGACUCAAUAAGAAAGAUUGCUCAACUUCAAAAAAGAAUACCCAUCUGUAAUUAUUUGUCACAUUUUCUGUAAUUUUCCUUGUCACAUUUCUCUACAUAAAAACAGGUUCCCAUCUCUGAUUUGUGUAUGUACAAUGGAUUUAUAAAUACAAAUUUUGACAUUGAGAUGUUGUCAAAUGAAUAAUUUUUGAAAAAAUUGUAAACAUAUGCUUGCAUGACUUUACCUCCUUGUUUCUACGAUGCUCAACUUCAAAGAAACUAAAAAAAUGAACUUUGUGCUGGAGCCUUAUAGUGUCAAAAUGACUUUUAAAUAUGCAAUAGAUGGUUUGGUUUAUUUUCCAUUUUUCACAAAAUUCUUAUAUUGGGAAACCCGUGAAACAAAAAUGGAAUUUUGGGGUUAUUCCACAAGAUUGGAUCUAAAUAGUAGGACAAUAUUGCUUUAUCCCAAUAUUGUACAAUGUCCUGCCCAAUUACAUCGAAAUUAUGCAUUUAUUUUGCAACCGAAUUUGAAAUAAUUUCAAAUUAACGGAAAUGAUAUUUAGGGACAUCGCCGCUCGCUAUAUACCUGCUGGUCGAAUGCCCGAAGUAAGACCAAAUUUAUUGAGCUCCGGCGUACUAACCCUACUGAUCCCAGACAGUGGAAGUCCGCAGAUUGAUACAGGAACAUGAUAGGACAGCAGUCGCAUUUAACGACGUAACGGUGACUGAUCCGAAGAGGUUCGCUGGCCAUUUUAAACGCCAAUUUGUCGAGCAGCCCGAGAGUGAUAGAGCGAGGCUAGGAGUACUGCAGCGUAUAAGAGCUCUUUCCGCCGAGGAUAUACCUGAAUAGUUUACGAUGGGUGAUGUUGCGAAUGUCUUCCGAAACGCUAAGUCAUCUAAAGUCAUGUUGAAGCAACUGGAUACACCGGGAGUUGAGUAUAUUGAGUGAUAAAUUGAAAAGUAGGAACAAGGUCCUUAAGACGCUAGCCGGCAAGGUCCUCCGGGGUUCGGAUAAGGAAACCUUGUUGACCUUUUAUAAAGCGAUAUGUCGUUCUGUUGUUAGCUAUGCUGCUGCAGUGUGGUCCGAGUGCAAUGCAGCGGUAAAGUAUUCAGACCUGCCAGAAUGCCGCCCUGAGAACUGCAACAGGGUUCCUCCUCAUGACUCCUGUGGACCAUUUACAUGAGGAGACGAAGUGUUUUCGUUGCAGUACCUGCUUGGGUGUUAUCGUGGGUCAUACUAACCAACAUAUAUGGGGCAGAACUCCCCAACCAGGCGUGUCAGCAAGGACCAGCAUGAGUCUUUCCCUAUUGGAUCUGAUAUUUGCAAAUGCUAGACAUUGUUUUCAUCAUCUUCCCCGUAUGCCCUGUAUAUGCUGUUAUCUGUACAGAUAAGCUUGUAGGCCCAGGUGACCCGUUACAUCCCAGUUACCCCACUAAUCUACUACUGAUGCGUAUGUUAGAACAAGUCUAACUACGCUUUUGAAUAUCCAGUGCGUCAUCCUUGAAUUAAAACUCGUCUGCAUAACAGACUGGUUCAAAUCCUUUGUUGGUUAAAUUCCGUAAAGACUGUUUAUGGAAGUGUAACAUAAGGUGUGUCUGCUUACUUUUCCUGCAGGAAUUGUCCAGCAACAUCUUUCUGAGAGAGUAAGGUAGUUUUAUUAUCUUUUGCAAGGAAAUUGCGAAAAGUAAACAGACAAGCUUCCUGCAAAACAAACCAAUUUGUCCCCCAUUAAAAGAAUUAAACGAAAGGAACCACCACCAAUUUCACAAGUUUUAUAAAUAACAAGUAAGCUAAGGAUAUAGUCGUGCGCGGCCGACUAUGUGAUACCCUACAACACUACAAUAUGUUAGAAGCCCCCUCAUAUCCAAAUCCAUUUUGGAAGAUUUUUUCAAUAUUUACGCACUCCGUCGUGCUGUUAGUUUUUGUGGUCCAUUUUACGGCUAAAUAUAAUCCAAUGGUCAUCCAAAAUGCUAGAAUUCUUCACUGUGCUUAACUAUCUUCUCAGGCGUGCCGAUUGGCUUCAAUUGUGUUAUCAUGAUUUUUUUCUGUUUUUGUUUCAUUUGAACCCAUAUAUAUUUUGCGAUCAUCUCCAAAAGCAAUUUGGCUAUAGUCGUCGACGAAAUCAGCAUAAAAAGCCAGAAGUUCGCCUUUUGGGUAUUUCGGAUAUCGCCUGUAAGUAAUGUUAGUAUUUUUGCACACAAAAGUAGUGGUCCAUUAUAACUGCUGUCUUAAAUUCUAACUUCAUGCAAGAUUUCGUGUCCUUUGGUUUCUAUGUGUGACCUUUAUAACAUUUGCAAAAUCAGGAACAUUUUGAGUUGCUGGCCCAUUUCAACCCCUAAAUAUAUUGCGGACAUAUUUGAAAACAAUAGGCUUAGCCCUUCUGAGCCUAACCCUACCUUUGUCAAAAAUUUCGUGAGGAUCGAAUGAUAAUUGCAAUCUGUGUAUACAUAAUAACCCGAUGACCAUCAAAAUUGGAAGGCAUCUGCCCAGCCCAAAGCUCUAGCCCCAUGCUAACUUUUGCUUCGAUUGGUCUAUAAUUGUGACCUGUAGAGCAACUGCAAAAUUUUUGCAUCAUUUUUCAGUUUUUGGUCCAUUUCAACCCCUUAAUAUUGUGCGAUCAUCUCCAAAAGAAAUAGGGUUCUAUUCUGAUUAACCCCACCUACAUUUUAAAUUUCGUGAAGAUCGGGCUAUAAUUGCGACCUGUAGAGUGAUUACCAAUUAACAUGGACAGACGGACGGACGGACAUACAUAGCUAGAUCGACUCAGCUCGGCGAGAUAGGAAGAUCCAUAUAUACUUUCCUAUGUGGGAAAUCAAUAUUUCGUGGUGUUACAUAAUUUUUGGCCCAAUCAAACUUAUAAUACCCCCAACACAAAGUGUUGUAGGGUAUAAAAAGGAAAUUGACAAUAAAAUAAAAAUAUGAGCAAUAAAAGGAAGAUAGAUAUGAUGUGUUCCGCGGAAUCUUUUAAACCUGUUGCUAAUGGCAUUUGUCUAAAAAUGCUGGAAAAAGUCUUUUACUUUCUUAUUACAUAUUAAUAUUUACUUUUUUCAUAUUUUGUAAAGUUGUUCUCCAAAAACAAUUAGUCUUGCUAAUUCCAAAACAAUAUUUUCAAAUUAAAAUCACAAAAAGAAAUUAAUAAACAAUAGAAAACAUCUGAUUGAAUGACGAUGAAUGAGAAGAAGAAGAGUUGCAAGAGAUUGCAAGAAGAAAUUUGUCCAGCAAGAAUUUGCAAACUCUCACUGAAAGAACUGUCAAAAUUUCUCUCUCCAACCGCUCUCUUUUGCAGAACUUUCGGGUUAACAGACGACUUCCAGUAACAAUUUGUAACAAUUGUUACAAAUUUUAGGGUAACCAUACACACCUAUAGUGAAUGAUGGCAACCCCAAAAAAAAAUGUCAAUUGACGUUUGCUGACAUUUCAUAAUCCUCGAUCUCUUCCUUUUGUGACUAGCUUUGAGUAAACAAGUAUUCUUUAACAUUAAAAUUGUAAUUUUUUAUUUUUAAGACAUAAAUAUUAUUCAAUAAAUGAAUUCCAAAUAAUAAAAGUUAUGUUAAUUGGCGACGAGGAUGAAACAUCGACUGGAGUACAAAGUGAAACAGAGGAAAGUAAGAUGGCUUCAAAAUACGGCGAUUUGACAACAGUUUAAUGUGGCUGCGGGAAAUUGGCAGAUUUAUCUAAAACAGAUGAUUUUUUUUUCAUGGCAAAUGGUAUAGCGGACGAGGAUGCAAAAAAGGCGAUAUUUUUAUCUUCUUGUGGGCCAGAUACCUACGUACUGUUGAAAUCCAUAGCCACUCCAGAUAACGUUAUGGACAAAACAUUCUCGUUUAAAAGAGCCGUGGAAUUGUUAUCCAAACAUUUUUGCCCGCCACCAAACCAGAUUAUACAGCAUUUCCAGUUUUACCGCAGAGACCAGAAAGAGGGAGAGACGGUUCCCGAAUUUUUGACCGCUUUAAGAAAUUUGGGCCAAUAUUGUGAAUUCACAGAUUUGGGUGUAAUGCUGCGUGACGGAUUGGUGUGUGGAUUAAGAGAUAGAUGAGAGUCUACAGAAAUGAUUGUUGUCAAAUGAUAAACUAACACUCAAAAUUGCACAGGAAGAAGCCAUUGCCAGUGAAGAGGCCCAGACGAAUUUAGCCGCAUUGAAAACACCAGUUAACCAGCAAAAGAUAAACAGAAUUGGUAACGGCAGAGAAAAAAAGAGUAAAGCAAAAAAUCAAUCCAGAGAUUGUUUUAGAUAUGGGGGUACACAUUCGCCAGACCAGUGCCGGUUUAAAGAAGAUUACCACUUCUGCAAAGAACGUGGAGAUAUUGAAAAGGCGUGUAUCACCAAAGCCAGGUCGUCCAGGAAAAAACUCUGGAGGAGCAAUGGGUAAGAAUAAUGUUAACCAGAUCAAAAUACCCCCGAAUGACGGAAACCUGGACUACAUUUUGUCAAUGAGUGGAGUAAAUGGCAUAUCGAUCCGCAGAGAAGUGAAAAUUUGUGAAAAAUCUAUUGAGGUGGAUAUUGGCUCUGGUGCCAGUCACUCAAUUAUGAGUGAAGAUAAAUUUUAUAAGAAGUUCCGUAACCUAAAGUUACAUCCCAGUAAAACACAUCUAAAAGCAUGGGGCACAGAAAAUAAUUGCCAAAUUUGUGGCGAAGAACGUGUUCCAGUUUCUUUGGGUGCUAUUAACUGGAAGCUGAUACUGUCCAGUGCACAGCAUCGAAGGUGGGUUACCAGAAGAGGUAACUGAAUUCAACACAAUAUUCGAUUCAAUGGAGGAGGAUGGUGUGCUACGUUCAUUGACGAAUAGCGUAUGGGCUACUCCAAUAGUUCCAGUUUUAAAACCAGAUAAUACCAUACGCAUUUUUGGUGAUUAUUAAUGUACGGUAAACCAGAUGAUUUGUAAAGAAACAUCCCCUGCCAACCAACAUGGAAGUGCUAACAACUUUAGCGAAUUGUAAAUGGUUUUUCAGAUUGGGUUUAGAUAGAGCGUACACUCAGGUGAAAGUAGGCGAUGAAUCAGCAAAAAUUUUAACCAUUAACACACAUCGUGGAUUGUUUGAGGUUACCAGAUUACCGUUCGGUAUAUCCACAGCACCAAGUAUUUUUCAACGUAUGAUGGAAGGCCUGUUAAGUGGCAUAGAUGGCGUUGUGGUAUAUCUUGAUGAUAUUUUGAUUGGUGGUAAGACGGUUCAGGAGAUGUGGGACCGAACAAAAGUUGUUCUUCGACGCAUACAAGAUACCGGUUUAAAAUUAAAAAGAAGUAAAUGUGUUUUUUCUGUUCAAGAGCUAUGCCUUUUGGAGUUCAAGGUAAAUCGAGAUGGUGUGAAACCAACAGAUGAAAAGAUCAGGGCAAUUUAUCAAGCACCUGAACCAACCGACAAACAACAACUGCAAUCAUUCCUGGGAUUAGUAACAUUUUACGAACGAUUUUUCCGCAACAAGUUAAAUGUGUUGGAGCCGCAUUAUCGUCUUUUGCAAAAGGAUGCCAGCAAGUUUUGAUCAGGUAAAGAAAAAUCUUCAAUCUGAAAAUCUUUUGGUUCGUUAUUCCGCAGAAUUGCCAUUGAUUUUGAGUGGUGAUGCUUCACCAUACGGAGUGGGGCAGUCUUAGCUCACGUCAUACCAGUCUUAGCUCACGUCAUGCCAAUUGCUUUUGGGUGCCGGACUCUCCAAUCAGCUGAAAAGAACUCUACCCAGUUAGACAAGAAGGCACUUGCGAUUAUUUUUGGCUAGAAGAAGUUUAACCAGUUUUUGAGUUGAAGAGAAUUUACGAUCUUAACUGAUCACAAACCGUUGUUGGGACUGUUUAAUCCAGUGAAACCCAUAUCUGAGCAUAUGUCACCUAGGAUGUUGAGAUGGUGGUUGAUGCUAGGGGCAUACCAAUACAACAUAAAAUAUAGAGAAGGGAAGAAAAGCAAAAAUGCAGAUGCAUUAAGCAGGCUACCAUUUAAAGAAGUAGGUGGAACAAUUCCGAAUAUUCCUGAAAUUUUAUAUUGUACAGAAGGCAAAGACCAGUUCUUAAUAAUGUUUGCCAUUGUUUGCUUUUGGGUACAAGAGUAAUAAUACCCACAAUUUUCGUUCCCGUAUUUUGAAUAUGUUGCAUGAAGUACACCAAGGUAUGUCAGCCAUGAAAGCUACCGCCAGAAGUUAUUUUUGGUGGCCAGGUCUCAAUAAGGACAUCGGGAUGACGGCGAAAAAAUGUGAGAAAUGUUCCCAACAAAAUAAACACCCUCCAGCGGCAGAACCAAAACCAUUUAGACCGUGGUCGAGAUUACAUUUUUGGGAACCAAUAUUCUUAUCAUCUUCGACUCAUAUAGCAAGUGGGUAGAAGUUAAAAUAACCAAAGACACCAGUUCUAUAAAAACAAUUGAACUAAUGAGAGAUGUAUUGGCAUCACAUGGGAUACCAGGCACCAUUGUAUCCGAUAAUGAACGAAAUUUUGUGUCAGGCGAGUUUGAGUCAUUUUUGUCAUCAAAUGACAUGAUACAUACGAACAGCACCGUAUCAUCCAUCAUCAAACGGCCAGGCGGAAAGGUUCGUACAAACAAUAAAAUCACUUUUAAAGAAAAUGCCACAAGCAAACAUCAAGAAGAGUUUAGAAAACAUACUUAUACGGUUAUGAACAACAUCCAAUCCAACAAAUGGAGAAAGCCCAGCAGAAAUCUUGAUGGGGAGGAAGCUAAGAACAAUUUUUGAUCAAAUACACCCGAGCAACAACAAAGCUGGGGACAAUUUGGCAAUAGAAGUAGAAGUGGAAUCGGUGAAUAGGAACAGAAGUUUCAAUUCUGGAGAUUUGGUAUGGACACGGAAUUUUGGCAGAGGUAAAAAAUGGCUGCCAGGUACUGUUAGAAACACAGGGGCUAGAAAUUAUGAAGUCGAUGUAGGAGGAGAUUUACAAUCUAGACACGUAGACCAGCUGCGAUCUCGAGUUAUCAGUCCAACAACAGCACCCCAUGAACAAAACACUACACUGCCGAUAGAUACGCACAAAACAUGGAUUUUAACCGCGAAGAAGAUAAAAAGCCAACAAACACAACUGCUAAUGACAGCACACCUGGUUCAACAAACAAUGAAGUAGCCAGGCAGAAACCUGAUCGAGACGUCACAACAAGAAGUCGACCGCAGAGGCGUAGAAAUCUUCCAUCGAGGUUAAAGGACUAUCUAAUGGGGGAGAAACUGUAAUAUAGUGAAUGAUGGUAACCCUAAAAAAAUUCAAUUGACGUUUGCUGACAUUUCAUAAUCCUCGAUCUCUUCAUUUUGUGACUGGCUUUGAGUAAACAAGUAUUCUUUAACAUUAAAUUGUAAUUUCUAUUUUUUAAGACAUAACUAUUAUUCAAUAAAUGAAUUCCAAAUAAUAAAA